rnacentral:rRNA from 1 species
GAAACUUAAGAUUUUGACGGUAUUUAGUUUUCCAAAGGAAUAUGUGUCUUAAUCGUCAAUACACGUAAAUUUUACUUAUUUUAUUUUUGUAUAUCUCCGUUAAUAGAUUUUAUUAAAAAUUUGUAAAAUUUUCUUUAAAAAUAAAUUUUUUAUUUCAGGUCAAGGUGCAGAAUAAAUAAGAUGUCAUGUAUUACAUUCAAAUAAAUUGUAUUGAAUAAUUGUUGAAACACAUUUUGAAAUUGAAUUUGUGAGUAAAAUAAACUAUAAAAUUUUAUUUGAAAUUUUACUAAAUAUGUACACAUC